ensembl:snoRNA
CGGGUGUGAUCAGAGCAGGAAGCCUGAAGAUAUGGCUCCUCUGUUUACAACACACCCAACAGGAUCAUGGAUGGGUUCGAUGAUGAAAGGGCACAAAAAGCCUGGCCUGACUGAGCACAGAACCCCUCACAGGC